rnacentral:rRNA from 1 species
GAUGAACGCUGGCGGCGUGCCUAAUACAUGCAAGUCGAGCGAACAGAUGAGGAGCUUGCUCCUCUGACGUUAGCGGCGGACGGGUGAGUAACACGUGGAUAACCUACCUAUAAGACUGGGAUAACUUCGGGAAACCGGAGCUAAUACCGGAUAAUAUAUUGAACCGCAUGGUUCAAUAGUGAAAGACGGUUUUGCUGUCACUUAUAGAUGGAUCCGCGCCGCAUUAGCUAGUUGGUAAGGUAACGGCUUACCAAGGCAACGAUGCGUAGCCGACCUGAGAGGGGGAUCGGCCAAACUGGAAAUGAGACACGGUCCAGACUCCUACGGGAGGCAGGAGUAGGGAAUCUUCCGCAAUGGGGGAAAGCCUGACGGAGCAACGCCGCGGGAGUGAUGAAGGUUUUCGGAUCGUAAAACUCUGUUAUUAGGGAAGAAAAAAUGUGUAAGUAACAAUGCACGUUUUGACGGUACCUAAUCAGAAAGCCACGGCUAACUACGU